GGAGGAGCAGGCUGUCCUGGGACACGUCGUUACCUAACACCAAAUUCAAAGAAACACGAAGGGCCGUCAGUCGGGACUGGCAAAGAAUUCCUGGCUGGAGGCUCCAGCUCUCUACCUCUGUGUUUGCCGUCCAUCUGCCGGCUGCCGGACCAUGAGCAGAUGUUCACCCCGUCCUCCAAGACCUGAGCCUGGAGAUGUGGUGUGAGGAGCCCGGAGUCACAGGCCCGUGCUCGUACCUCUCCAGGGAAGUUCAUUAAGCCUUAUUUACAUUUGUGAUGCCAAUCACACAGAUACUUGAACCUGAACAAAGACCGAACAGAGGUGAACAGUGGUUAUUCGACCUGCUGAAGGUCAGUACACCACCCUGCCUUACGAAUACCAAAACACUGUUGUUGUGCUAAAAUGGGUGCCGCCUGACGAUUCAUCGGAUUCUGAAUUACACAUAAUCGUACAUUCAGCAUUGUAAAUCCAAUCAGGAGUGUGUGCAUGAUAAAACCUGGACAUCUUAUGGAAGAAAAAGUUUGGAGACGUGGGGAAAAGCAGCAGAACCACGAACUACAAACUCCUAUAAACCUCAGGCAAAACACUGAGGUAUUUUUAGUGUUUACAUGCAUCUGGUUUUGUCAGUUGGACUGCCUCAGGUGUCUGGUUCAACUAGUUAAAGACAGUCUUGGUCAGCAAUGAUGUAUUUGACUUUACAAACAUGGGUUUUGGGCCCUGUUUGUUGAGUGUGUUAGUGAGAAAAAAUGAAGUCCUGGUAGAGAGGAACAAUGGCCUCACCCUGUGCACCUUCCAGCAGAAACUUUUAAUAUUUCUGAUGAAAGUUUUUAGAAUUUAUGAUCCAAAAAAACAGUAGUGACCAUUUAAAAUAUAGUUCAGUGUUUUUAUUUUGUAGGUAUAAGAGGAAACAGUUUCUUAUUUUGAAUAAAAACAUGGACGCGA